rnacentral:rRNA from 1 species
CCUACGGGAGGCAGCAGUGGGGAAUAUUGGGCAAUGGAGGAAACUCUGACCCAGCAACGCCGCGUGAAUGAUGAAGGUCUUCGGAUUGUAAAGUUCUUUUCUAAGGGAAGAAGAAAGUGACGGUACCUUAGGAAUAAGCCUCGGCUAACUACGUGCCAGCAGCCGCGGUAAUACGUAGGAGGCAAGCGUUAUCCGGAAUGACUGGGCGUAAAGGGUGCGUAGGUGGUUCAGCAAGUUAGUAGCGUAACUCCGGGGCUCAACCUCGGCACUACUACUAAAACUGUUGAACUUGAGUGCAGGAGGGGCAACUGGAAUUCCUAGUGUAGCGGUGGAAUGCGUAGAUAUUAGGAGGAACACCAGUGGCGAAGGCGAGUUGCUGGACUGUAACUGACACUGAGGCACGAAAGCGUGGGGAGCAAACAGGAUUAGAUACCCCUGU